AACCAGCUCUUGGAGUGGUGGUCAUGAUUAUUUGGCUUAAAGUGUGCGUAGCAGGACAGCGUAAGUCCCCUGUGAAAUGCUAGGUCUUAAGCUUAGCACGUGCAGGGGAUACUGCGCGUCUUGGGACCGGGAUAGGUGUAUUGUACGCGAUGGGUAGGGGUGAAAUCCGAUAAUCCAUCGCGGACAACCGGUGGCGAAGGCGAUACACUGGAACGGGUCCGACUGUGAGGCACGAAAGCUAGGGUCGCGAGCCGGAUUAGAUACCCCCGUA
rnacentral:rRNA from 1 species